rnacentral:tRNA from 1 species
GGGCACGUAGCUCAGUUGGUUAGAGCGUCUGCUCGACACGCAGGAGGCCACAGGUUCAAAUCCUGUCGUGCCCA